CGGGGGUGUUACAUAAAGUGAUCAUCCAGCGGGAGGAGGUUGUUUAUUUAUCCUGUGUUUGUGGCAGAGUAUGGCCUUCAUUUUUCUGUAUCUGCCGAUUGUGGCUUCUAUUUCGAGACAUUGCGUGAGCCUGUUUUGGCUGUUUUAUCAUUUACCGGGACUGGCCGUUGGUGGCUUCGAAUCCUUACCGCUUAUGCGGUUAUAUAUAUAAUGGGCGUUUAUUUUUAAUUGUUCUGUUUUGAGUAGGUUUGAAGUAAACAUGAGUUGCCGUCUCAUAUUUAAUUCCGUUGAGACG
rnacentral:lncRNA from 1 species